rnacentral:rRNA from 1 species
CGAAAGCCUGACGGAGCAAGACCGCGUGGGGGAAGAAGGCUCUUGGGUUGUAAACCCCUUUUCUCUGGGAAGAAAGUUGUGAAAGCAACCUGACGGUACCAGAGGAAUCAGCAUCGGCUAACUCCGUGCCAGCAGCCGCGGUAAGACGGAGGAUGCAAGCGUUAUCCGGAAUGAUUGGGCGUAAAGCGUCCGCAGGUGGCAGUUCAAGUCUGCUGUUAAAGGUUCUGGCUCAACCAGAGACAGGCAGUGGAAACUGAAUAGCUAGAGUGCGGUAGGGGCAGAGGGAAUUCCCAGUGUAGCGGUGAAAUGCGUAGAGAUUGGGAAGAACACCGGUGGCGAAAGCGCUCUGCUAGGCCGUAACUGACACUCA